AACCCUCUUUAAUUUUUUACCUAACCCUAAUCAUUUUCCUCUCCUUUCUAGCACAGCCAGCCUCUCUUUCUUUUCCUCAGACUCUCGCUCUCCUAUAAACCCUAACCCUAAAUUGUAUUUUCUCUCAGUUUAUUAGUGAUUGACUCUUAAAUCUUACACAAUACACUACUUGGUGAAGAUUGUGUAAUACCCUUAUUCACUUUGUCCUUGUUCCUACUCUGUAAUCCUGUUGUUUACUAUUUCUUCGUUAUAUGUGUAACUGACGUGAUUUUUUUUCUUUCUUCCAUGUUAUGAACUAGGGAUUUUUGGAACCCCUUUCGUGUUUGGCUUUAAUUUUACAAGUACAGGCAAUUAGGGUUUUUGAUUUGUAGAUUUAUUUUUAGAUUUUGUGUUCUUGCUACUUUUAGUUACUAAUUUGUGUUCCUCUUUUGUUUUAUCUUCAUGGCAUAUGUAUGGAAGCCCCUUGAUUCUAUGGUUCCUAGCCCCAAUUCUGAAACUGAGACUGACUUUUGAUCUAAUAAUUAACACCUAAUUUUUUUAACUUUUACUUUACAUUUAGUUUGAUUUUUCAAUUACUGUAAUAUAGCAGACUUAAUUUGUAGUUCUUUAAUUUUUGCUACUUAAUUAGUUAAGUUGUUGGAUACUUGGAAUUGGAUGUAAUUUGCCUUUCAAAUUCUGUAAUGAGAGUUUGUUAUUUUAUUUA